UACGUAGGGGGCAAGCGUUGUCCGGAUUUACUGGCCGUAAAGAGCGUGUAGGCGGCCAAGCAGGUCCGUUGUGAAAACUGGAGGCUUAACCUCCAGACUUCGACGGAAACCGCGUGGCUAGAGUCCGGAAGAGGAGAGUGGAAUUCCUGGUGUAGCGGUGAAAUGCGCAGAUAUCAGGAAGAACACCAAUGGCGAAGGCAGCUCUCUGGGACGGUACUGACGCUGAGACGCGAAAGCGUGGGGAGCGAACAGG
rnacentral:rRNA from 1 species